rnacentral:rRNA from 1 species
AUUGAACGCUGGCGGCAGGCCUAACACAUGCAAGUCGAACGGUAACAGGAAGAAGCUUGCUUCUUUGCUGCCGAGUGGCGGACGGGUGAGUAAUGUCUGGGAAACUGCCUGAUGGAGGGGGAUAACUACUGGAAACGGUAGCUAAUACCGCAUAACGUCGCAAGACCAAAGAGGGGGACCUUCGGGCCUCUUGCCAUCGGAUGUGCCCAGAUGGGAUUAGCUAGUAGGUGGGGUAACGGCUCACCUAGGCGACGAUCCCUAGCUGGUCUGAGAGGAUGACCAGCCACACUGGAACUGAGACACGGUCCAGACUCCUACGGGAGGCAGCAGUGGGGAAUAUUGCACAAUGGGCGCAAGCCUGAUGCAGCCAUGCCGCGUGUAUGAAGAAGGCCUUCGGGUUGUAAAGUACUUUCAGCGGGGAGGAAGGGAGUAAAGUUAAUACCUUUACUCAUUGACGUUACCCGCAGAAGAAGCACCGGCUAACUCCGUG